CACCCGCAGCUCGAGUGGUGGUCACUUUUAUUGAGCCUAAAGCGUUUGUAGCCGGUUUUGCAAAUCUUCAGAUAAAUUCCUCUGCUUAACAGAUGAUCUUCUGAAGAGACUGCGAGACUUGGGACCGGGUGAGGUUGAAGGUACUUCCGGGGUAGGGGUAAAAUCCUGUAAUCCUGGAAGGACGACCGGUGGCGAAGGCGUUCAACUAGAACGGAUCCGACGGUGAGGAACGAGGGCUAGGGUAGCAAACCGGAUUAGAUACCCGGGUAGUCCUAGCUGUAAACACUGCCCACUUGGUGUUGCCCCUCCGAUGAGGGGAGGCAGUGCCGGAGCGAAGGUGUUAAGUGGGCCGCUUGGGGAGUAUGGUCGCAAGGCUGAAACUUAAAGGAAUUGGCGGGGGAGCACCGCAACGGGAGGAGCGUGCGGUUUAAUUGGAUUCAACGCCAGAAAACUCACCGGGAGCGACCUUUGGAUGAGAGUCAGCCUGAUGAGCUUACUCGAUAGAAGGAGAGGUGGUGCAUGGCCGUCGUCAGCUCGUACCGUAGGGCGUUCACUUAAGUGUGAUAACGAGCGAGACCCCCAUCUCUAAUUGCUAACGUGCAUUCGCGUGCACGCGCACUUUAGAGGGACCGCCAGUGCUAAACUGGAGGAAGGAGGGGUCGACGGCAGGUCAGUACGCCCCGAAUCUCCCGGGCAACACGCGCGCUACAAAGGGCAGGACAAUGAGUUGCCACCUCGAAAGGGGGAGCUAACCUCGAAACCUGUUCGUAGUUAGGAUUGAGGGCUGUAACUCGCCCUCAUGAAUGUGGAUUCCGUAGUAAUCGCGGGUCAACAGUCCGCGGUGAAUAUGCCCCUGCUCCU
rnacentral:rRNA from 1 species